UACGUAGGGGGCAAGCGUUGUCCGGAUUUAUUGGGCGUAAAGAGCGUGUAGGCGGCCAGGUAGGUCCGUUGGGAAAACUCGAGGCUUAACCUCGAGACGUCGAUGGAAACCAUCUGGCUAGAGUCCGGAAGAGGAGAGUGGAAUUCCUGGUGUAGCGGUGAAAUGCGCAGAUAUCAGGAAGAACCCCCGUGGCUAAGGCGGCUCUCUAGUACGGUACUGACGCUGAGACGCGAAAGCGUGGGGAGCGAACAGG
rnacentral:rRNA from 1 species